AUUGAACGCUGGCGGCAUGCCUUACACAUGCAAGUCGAACGGCAGCACGGGAGCUUGCUCCUGGUGGCGAGUGGCGAACGGGUGAGUAAUACAUCGGAACGUACCCUGAAGUGGGGGAUAACGUAGCGAAAGUUACGCUAAUACCGCAUAUUCUGUGAGCAGGAAAGAGGGGGAUCGCAAGACCUCUUGCUUUAGGAGCGGCCGAUGUCGGAUUAGCUAGUUGGUGAGGUAAAGGCUCACCAAGGCGACGAUCCGUAGCGGGUCUGAGAGGAUGAUCCGCCACACUGGGACUGAGACACGGCCCAGACUCCUACGGGAGGCAGCAGUGGGGAAUUUUGGACAAUGGGCGCAAGCCUGAUCCAGCCAUGCCGCGUGCAGGAUGAAGGCCUUCGGGUUGUAAACUGCUUUUGUACGGAACGAAAAGACUACUCUCUAAUACAGGGGUGAAUGACGGUACCGUAACGAAUAAGACACCGGCUAACGUACGUG
rnacentral:rRNA from 1 species